rnacentral:rRNA from 1 species
GAUGAACGCUGGCGGCGUGCCUAAUACAUGCAAGUCGAGCGAACUGAUUAGAAGCUUGCUUCUAUGACGUUAGCGGCGGACGGGUGAGUAACACGUGGGCAACCUGCCUGUAAGACUGGGAUAACUUCGGGAAACCGAAGCUAAUACCGGAUAGGAUCAUCUCCUUCAUGGGAGAUGAUUGAAAGAUGGUUUCGGCUAUCACUUACAGAUGGGCCCGCGGUGCAUUAGCUAGUUGGUGAGGUAACGGCUCACCAAGGCAACGAUGCAUAGCCGACCUGAGAGAGUGAUCGGCCACACGGGGACUGAGACACGGGCCAGACUCCUAAGGGAGGCAGCAGUAGGGAAUCUUCCGCAAUGGACGAAAGUCUGACGGAGCAACGCCGCGUGAGUGAUGAAGGCUUUCGGGUCGUAAAACUCUGUUGUUAGGGAAGAACAAGUACAAGAGUAACUGCUUGUACCUUGACGGUACCUAACCAGAAAGCCACGGCUAACUACGUGCCAGCCGCCGCAGUAACAC